rnacentral:misc_RNA from 1 species
UAGAGUUUUCUAAACUCCCAACCCAUGUGAACUUACCUUUGUUGCCUCGGCAGAAGCUACCCGGUACCGACCACCUCGGUGCGAGUUACCCUGUAGCGGCUGCCGGUGGACCAUCAAACUCUUGUUAUUUUAUGGUUAUCUGAGCGUCUUAUUUUAAUAAGUCA